rnacentral:rRNA from 1 species
GACGAACGCUGGCGGCGUGCUUAACACAUGCAAGUCGAGCGGUAAGGCCCUUUCGGGGGUACACGAGCGGCGAACGGGUGAGUAACACGUGGGUGACCUGCCCUCAGCUCUGUGAUAAGCCUGGGAAACCGGGUCUAAUACCGGAUAUGACUCCAUGACGCAUGUUGUGGGGUGGAAAGCCUUGUGCGGCUGAGGAUGGGCCCGCGGCCUAUCAGCUUGUUGGUGGGGUGANGGCCUACCAAGGCGACGACGGGUAGCCGGCCUGAGAGGGCGACCGGCCACACUGGGACUGAGACACGGGCCCAGACUCCUACGGGAGGCAGCAGUGGGGAAUCUUGCGCAAUGGGCGAAAGCCUGACGCAGCGACGCCGCGUGAGGGAUGACGGCCUGGU